rnacentral:rRNA from 1 species
GACGAACGCUGGCGGCGUGCUUAACACAUGCAAGUCGAACGAUGAACCACUUCGGUGGGGAUUAGUGGCGAACGGGUGAGUAACACGUGGGCAAUCUGCCCUGCACUCUGGGACAAGCCCUGGAAACGGGGUCUAAUACCGGAUACGACUUGCCGAGGCAUCUCGGCGGGUGGAAAGCUCCGGCGGUGCAGGAUGAGCCCGCGGCCUAUCAGCUUGUUGGUGAGGUAGUGGCUCACCAAGGCGACGACGGGUAGCCGGCCUGAGAGGGCGACCGGCCACACUGGGACUGAGACACGGCCCAGACUCCUACGGGAGGCAGCAGUGGGGAAUAUUGCACAAUGGGCGGAAGCCUGAUGCAGCGACGCCGCGUGAGGGAUGACGGCCUUCGGGUUGUAAACCUCUUUCAGCAGGGAAGAAGCGCAAGUGACGGUACCUGCAGAAGAAGCGCCGGCUAACUACGUGCCAGCAGCCGCCGUAAGAC